UGGUGCGGAAAGGGCCCACAGUGGACUUGGUGCACUGUAUGCCCUAACCGCUCAGU
rnacentral:pre_miRNA from 1 species